rnacentral:rRNA from 1 species
UACGUAGGUGGCAAGCGUUAUCCGGAAUUAUUGGGCGUAAAGCGCGCGCAGGCGGUUUCUUAAGUCUGAUGUGAAAGCCCACGGCUCAACCGUGGAGGGUCAUUGGAAACUGGGGAACUUGAGUGCAGAAGAGAAAAGCGGAAUUCCACGUGUAGCGGUGAAAUGCGUAGAGAUGUGGAGGAACACCAGUGGCGAAGGCGGCUUUUGGUCUGUAACUGACGCUGAGGCGCGAAAGCGUGGGGAGCAAACAGGG